GUCACUUGGUAAACAAACAAAAUGGCGGUUCCCGCCAGCAAUAGCUAGCAUAACCAUGGUAACCAAAUUGUUUAAUUUGGUAGAAUGCCGUGAAAAGACUGAUGGCAACUUUAACCAUUUGAGUGUUCAUCACCACAACCAUUUGAUGUCCAGCUUGCUGAUCAGUGACGGCCUGUUGAAAUCAGUGACAUGGACUCUGGCCUAGUUCCACCCAGACGUUCGUGGGUGGAUGAUCGUGUUUAUGUGUGGGCAGGUUUACGAGUGUACCUUUCACAUUCACUCCAUAUAUCUCGCUGGGCUCGACGGCCUCUGUGACGUCGAUGAUGGAGGCGAUGUGGAAGACUAGUGUGGCUCCCCGACACGCCUUCCUCACAAAGUCGGCGUCUCGAAUGUCGCCCUCAAACACUGCUUUGCAGCACCUCCUUUUUGACGUUUAUGUCGAGGAGCCGAACCUCGCCGAUGUUUUUCUCCUGCUCAAGCAGCAUCUUGAUCAGCGUCUUUCCCAGGAAACCGCAUGCUCCUGUCACCACGCAUACCUCGCCAUCCAGGGAUGACAUCGCAGAUCCUCCGCAGCGCAGAAAAAUAAGAAAGAAGGAAAAGAAGAAGCGGGACUAGAAGUGAGUGAGCUGGCUGCCGUUUCUUCUUUUUUAUGGACAAGGAUUCUUCCAAGAGGGGAGGGGCCAAGCAACCAGUGGGAAAAAAAAAUCAUGAACAUAUUCAUGUGUACUUCUAACACACACCCUAAUUUCAAACUAAAACCCUGACCUGAAACCCUAUUUUGGAAUCCUAACCAUUGUUUAACCCCUUGAUGCCUGUAUUUACAUUAUGAUGUAGAUAUUGUACAUAUACUGUAUGUAUAGUGACAAUUACAUUGAAAAAUACAACAAAAAAUGGGAAAAUCUUGAAUCUUGAA